CUUACCUACUCUUGACAUCCAGCGAAUCCUUUAGAGAUAGAGGAGUGCCUUCGUGAACUCUGAGACCUGUGCUGCAUGGCUGUCGUCAGCUCGUGUUGUGAAAUGUUGGGUUUAGUCCCGCAACGAGCGCAACCCUUAUCCUUUUUUGCCAGGACCUAAUGGUGGGAACUCAACGGAGACUGCCGGUCAUAAACCGGAGGAAGGUUGGGAUGACGUCAAGUCCUCAUUGCCCU
rnacentral:rRNA from 1 species